rnacentral:rRNA from 1 species
UACGAAGGGGGCUAGCGUUGUUCGGAAUUACUGGGCGUAAAGCGCACGUAGGCGGAUUGUUUAGUCGGGGGUGAAAUCCCGGGGCUCAACCCCGGAAUUGCCUCCGAUACUGGCAGUCUCGAGGCCGAGAGAGGUGAGUGGAACUCCGAGUGUAGAGGUGAAAUUCGUAGAUAUUCGGAAGAACACCAGUGGCGAAGGCGGCUCACUGGCUCGGUACUGACGCUGAGGUGCGAAAGCGUGGGGAGCAAAC